rnacentral:rRNA from 1 species
UACGGGGGGGGCAAGCGUUUGUUCGGAAUUACUGGGCGUAAAGGGCUCGUAGGCGGCCAACUAAGUCGGACGUGAAAUCCCCCGGCUUAACCGGGGAACUGCGUCUGAUACUGGAUGGCUUGAGUUCGGGAGAGGGAUGCGGAAUUCCAGGUGUAGCGGUGAAAUGCGUAGAUAUCUGGAGGAACACCGGUGGCGAAGGCGGUUCUCUGGGCCUGUACUGACGCUGAGGAGCGAAAGCGUGGGGGAGCGAACGGG